GGCGUGCCUAUCAUGCAAGUCGAGCGGAGUUAUGAAGGAGCUUGCUCCGGAUUAACUUAGCGGCGGACGGGUGAGUAACACGUAGGCAACCUGCCCUUCAGACUGGGAUAACUACCGGAAACGGUAGCUAAUACCGGAUAAUUCCUUUCUUCGCCUGAAGAAAGGAUGAAAGACGGAGCAAUCUGUUACUGAGGGAUGGGCCUGCGGCGCAUUAGCUAGUUGGUGGGGUAACGGCUCACCAAGGCGACGAUGCGUAGCCGACCUGAGAGGGUGAACGGCCACACUGGGACUGAGACACGGCCCAGACUCCUACGGGAGGCAGCAGUAGGGAAUCUUCCGCAAUGGGCGAAAGCCUGACGGAGCAACGCCGCGUGAGUGAUGAAGGUUUUCGGAUCGUAAAGCUCUGUUGCCAGGGAAGAACGUUCUCUAGAGUAACUGCUAGAGAAGUGACGGUACCUGAGAAGAAAGCCCCGGCUAACUACGUGCCAGCAGCCGCGGUAAU
rnacentral:rRNA from 1 species